GACGGAAGGUGCAAGCGUUGCUCGGAAUCACUGGGCGUAAAGGGCGCGUAGGCGGCCUUCUAAGUCGAACGUGAAAUCCCCGGGCUCAACCCGGGAACUGCGUCCGAUACUGGAAGGCUUGAAUCCGGGAGAGGGAUGCGGAAUUCCAGGUGUAGCGGUGAAAUGCGUAGAUAUCUGGAGGAACACCGGUGGCGAAGGCGGCAUCCUGGACCGGCAUUGACGCUGAGGCGCGAAAGCCAGGGGAGCAAACGGG
rnacentral:rRNA from 1 species